rnacentral:rRNA from 1 species
CUCUGUGACUCCUACGGGAGGCAGCAGUGGGGAAUAUUGCACAAUGGGCGCAAGCCUGAUGCAGCCAUGCCGCGUGUGUGAAGAAGGCCUUCGGGUUGUAAAGCACUUUCAGUUGUGAGGAAGGUGGUGUCGUUAAUAGCGGCAUCAUUUGACGUUAGCAACAGAAGAAGCACCGGCUUAACUCCGUGCCAGCAGCCGCGGUAAUACGGAGGGUGCGAGCGUUAAUCGGAAUUACUGGGCGUAAAGCGCAUGCAGGUGGUUUGUUAAGUCAGAUGUGAAAGCCCGGGGCUCAACCUCGGAACUGCAUUUGAAACUGGCAGACUAGAGUACUGUAGAGGGGGUAGAAUUUCAGGUGUAGCGGUGAAAUGCGUAGAGAUCUGAAGGAAUACCGGUGGCGAAGGCGGCCCCCUGGACAGAUACUGACACUCAGAUGCGAAAGCGUGGGGAGCAAACAGGAUUAGAUACCCUGGUAG